GAAUGACAUAAAAUUUUCCAGUUUCUUUCUAAAUUUCAAUUUCAAGUACACAAAAGGAAAGAACCUCUAUAAUUCAAGACAUUAGUAUUGCAAAAGCAAAUCGUUCUACUCUCUAUGUUGGAUACUGUAAAGCCUGAUGAUCAUACAAUUACUAUGGUGCAUCGAUAAGCCUUAUUUUCCAGGCUAUCAUUCAUUGGUGUCUAUUCCGCAGAUGCUCUUUUUUAAGAGCCAAGAACUUAGCUGCUAGCUCUUCAUAGUUUGGCAAUUUAGGGUGGACAUGAUUAGGAGACUGAAUAGCAAAAGAACUGGACCUAAAUGCGUUUUCAGUUUGAUCGCCCUUAGACCGCUCUUGGGGCAUUGUCAUGGCUCUCAAAUAAGGGGGCUUUGGUGCUUUUCUUGUCAAAGGACUAGUAGCCUUAGGUGAUGAAUUAUUAGAAGCAAAAUGGCUGCCUAGAGGAUCAAAUUCAUCGACCUUUCCUUUCGCUACCUUGCUUCGCUUAUCAGGCUGGCAAUCUGAAUUGGUUAAAGAGCUGAAUGCACUACCACCAAAUUCACAGCUUCUUCUUCUAGGCCUCUGAUCAGGAAAGGUAUACCAUUCCAUUUCUGUGUCUGGUUUUCCAAUCCUACAACACUUAUGAACAUGCUUUUGUUCUAAGCCAUGACUAAUCGUGUCAUUCUGCUUUGGACGAGGAGAUUUCUGAUCAUCUCUGCCAUCACCAAUAUAAAAAUAAUACGGAUGGCAGCAGCACUCAGCCUCAAGAUUAAAGCAGCAGCAGGAGUGAGGAUGUUUCUGCCUCUUCUCUUCAUGAAAUGCCUGCUCGCUAUUUUGUACUACAUUCUUCCUUAGAUGCUUACUGUGAAGAUGUGACCUAGGAUUUGGAGAUCUCGUGUAUGGCUCGUCAUAAUAAACCAAGCAUUCAAUAUCCUUCACACUUGAAUUUCCUCGAGAGAAGGAUCUCCUCCUUGUUCUUUUCCUGACAGCCUUUUCUCUCUUUCUUGUGCUACAUGAGCUUGAGGAAUCACUAUAACAGUCUUCAGCUUUUCCAUCUGUAGGCAGCACAGAUGAUUUGAACUUGAAAAUCCUUUGGUCCUGGCAGCUUCCUUCAUUCUUAAUGGAUUGUUGAACCUCCUCUACGUCAUCAAGAUAGGUUAUCAUUUCCUCGGGAAGCUGAGGCAAACUUUCUGAAGAAGAAGCUGUCAUCUUUCGCUCUUGCUUGUGAUCUGAAUUGGGAAUGUAAGCUCUGCAAGUUUUCUGACUUUCAUCAGAACCAAAAGCUACAACUUCGAAUUUGUGGGGAGACUCCAAUCCUGCUUUUCCAUUCAUCGGAGACUUCAUUAUAUCUGGUGGAGAUCGCUCAACUAUAGAAGAAGUAAUGGAAGUACUCAUCUUGUCUUCCUGAUGAGCACCGAAUGGUAUGGUACUCAUCACAGUAGAUGCUGCAUCUGCAUAUUUGGCUUUUCCCUCUUUAUCAUAAGUUUGAAAAUCAAUAUCUAGUACCUGUUGCUGAAGUUCAGAAGUGUAUGCAAGUGCAAAAAUCUCUGGCUUGAGGCUGUAAUCUCUAGAUAUCUGAGCUACUAAUUUUUGCUUCACAUCAUCAGGAACUGAUUUAAUGGACAGUUUCUCUUUCACCUGGAGGUUGACAAGAUUGCCAGGCAAUAGUUCAAGAGCUGUCAUUUCAAAUCUCUGGCCAUAACGCUCUCCAAAGAGCUUGCGGAUAGAUCGAAGCUCUGGUAGAUCCCCACAUCUUGCAGAGGCAAAUAUAAGACUCGAAACUGCUUCAUUGAUAUCAUUGGGACAAUCCUUGUGCUUGCGGAUAUACGAUAUGUGGACGAGGAUAAAAUCACAGAAAUUGUCCAGUAAUUCAUAAAUGUCCAUAAUGGUUUCAUCUAUAAAAAGAUGCUCUGCCCGAUUGAAGGCAAUAUCUUCAUAGCCAAUCUUGAUGAGCUGAGCCACAUCCUCCCUAAUCUGCCUCACAAUUGAAUACCUCUUGGUCUUUAACAGCUUGAGUCGGCACUGAACUCGUUUGAUCAGCUUCUUGCAUUUAGAAGCUUUUCGCCACCCAAACAAGAAAUCAAACAUCUCUCAAUGUUUUCACUCUGCUUUAUUCUUGAAGUAACAGUAGUAGAAUUCAAUAGGAAGCUGAAGUUGGGAGUGAGUUUACAUGUUGCAGGGGAAAGAAGAAUGGAUUGAAAAUGGAAUGUUUUAAGGAGAAGGUGAAGAAGAGCUAACCGAAGCAACAUGGGAUAUGAAGUACAUGGCAGUUAGUAGUUGGUUUUAGGAGAAGUGGGUUUGAAAAAAUUGGAAGAGAGUGGCGCACGCUUCUCUCCCUCCACUCAGGAAAAAAAAACUGCUCCUCUUCCU
rnacentral:misc_RNA from 1 species